rnacentral:misc_RNA from 1 species
GGAAGGAUCAUUAAUGAAAUGGCAAGUCGGCGGAUUGUGCUGGCGCCCCCAAAGGUGCAUGUGCACGUCCGUCGCAAAUCCACACACCUGUGCACCCUAGACUUCGAGUGAGCGGGUUCGUCAGAGCCCUGCGCCUCGGAGUACUUUUACACACUCUUGUAUGUAAUGGGAUGUUGACGUGCUUAGCACAAAAACAUACAACUUUCAACAACGGAUCUCUUGGCUCUCGCAUCGAUGAAGAACGCAGCGAAAUGCGAUAAGUAAUGUGAAUUGCAGAAUUCAGUGAAUCAUCGAAUCUUUGAACGCACCUUGCACCCUUUGGUAUUCCGAAGGGUACACCCGUUUGAGUGUCAUUGUAAUCUCACGCCCGAGUGCUUUUUUGCGCGAAGGACCGUGGACUUGGACGUCUCUGCCGCGUAACUGCGGCUCGUCUCAAAUGCAUGAGCAUGACCGGCUUGCUUCAGUGUCAUCUGGUGUGAUAAGCAUCUUCACCGGAACCUUGGGACCCUCUCAGAGGAACCCGCACUCUGGCUUGCCUGAGGUCUGCUUCCAACCGUCUCUCAGACAAACGCUUUGACAAUUUGACCUCAAAUCGGGUGGGACUACCCGCUGAACUUAAGCAUAUCAAUAAGCGGAGGAAAAGAAACUAACAAGGAUUCCCCUAGUAACGGCGAGUGAAGAGGGAAAAGCUCAAAUUUUAAAUCUGGCGUCUUCGGCGUCCGAGUUGUAAUCUAGAGAAGUGUUUUCCGUGUAGGACCGUGCACAAGUCUCCUGGAACGGGGCGUCAUAGAGGGUGAGAAUCCCGUAUGUGGCACGGACUCCCUGCGCUUUUGUGAUACACUCUCAACGAGUCGAGUUGUUUGGGAAUGCAGCUCAAAAUGGGUGGUAAAUUCCAUCUAAAGCUAAAUAUUGGCGAGAGACCGAUAGCGAACAAGUACCGUGAGGGAAAGAUGAAAAGCACUUUGGAAAGAGAGUGAAACAGUACGUGAAAUUGUUGAAAGGGAA